rnacentral:lncRNA from 1 species
UCCUUGCUAACUUUAAUUUUGAAAUCAGAUUCUAAAUUUUGAAACCAGUUCCACCAUCUGAAGAUAGAUGAUAGGAACGAUUCAAGACUUACGUCAGCCAUGAGGUCAUAUAUAUUUCAACUUCCUAAUGUCCCCAUUCAGGGUGUUGGGGGUAGUGCAACGCGGUUUAAUACCCUUCAAAGCGAAUGAAACAGCUGUCAU